UGAUAGGUCCAUCUUUUUUCUUUACGAUGCAAAAACCGUAUUUCAAAAGCUGAACCCUCAGCGGUUUCCUAGGGCUGGCGUCGGUCUGCGGAGAACUUCUGAGGCCCGGCAGCCAAUCAUCCUUUUCCUGGCGCUCGAGUCAUGGUCUCCUCCCACCAUAUGCGGUUCCCACAGCCAAGCUUUGGGCCAUCUGUCUAAGGACAAUUCAAGUGCCAGGAGGAUGCAUCGUCUUAAAAGCAGGCAUCAGACUUUUUCAUGAGAGACAGAGACACAGAGGGAGAAGCAGGCUCCAUGCAGGGAGCCCGACAUGGGACUCAUCCUGGGUCUCCAGGAUCACACCCUGGGCUGAAGGCGGCGCUAAACCGCUGGGCCACCCAGGCUGCCCUAGACUUUGUUUUUUAAAGCAGUUCUAGAUUCACAGCAAAAUUGAAAAGAAGGAACAGAGAUUUCCCAUGUACUUUCUGUCCCUACAAAUGUGUGGCCUUCUCCAUUAUCACGGGAUAUAAAACUAGUUUUAAGGAUGCAAAUAUAUCUAGAGAAAUUAAAGAUGAUUUUAUCAACAAUGAAAAAUAAAGAGUGCUUCAGGUAGCCCAAUUUUAUUUUAUUUAAUGAUUUAUUUAUUUAUUUUAGAGGGGGGAGGGACAGAGGGAGAGAAUCUCUAAGCAGAUUCCCCACUGAACAUGGAGCUGGCUGUGGGGCUUGAUCCCACCACCCAUGAGAUCAUGACCUGAGCCAAACUAAAAGUCUGGCACUCAACUGCUGAGCUACCCAGGUGUCCCUUUUCUUAAGAUUUUAUUUAUUUAUUUGAAAGAGAGAGAGCACCAGCAGGGAGGAGGAGCAGAGGAAAAGGGAGAAGCAAGCUCACUGCUGAGCAGGGAACCCAACGUGGGGCUCAAACCCAGGAAGGACCCUGCAAUCAUGACCUAAGCCAAAAGCAGAUGCUUAACUGACUAAGCAACCUAGGCACAAGUGGUAGUUUAGUUUAUUAAAGAUAAUUACAAUAUAAAAUCUGAAACCAGUAGCACUGAGGUUUUCAUAUUCUAUUAUCUAAAAAACCAACAUUGGUCUACCUUGAACUUGAAUGUAUCUUUUUCUCACAUUAAUUUGUGACCUCACACAUUAGUCAUUUUGAAAAUGUUUCCCAGAGUUUUCCAGAUCUGACAAAUGUUGAUACCUUCUAUGAUCAUAAAUAUCAUAAUUUAUUAAUAUCUCCAUGGAUCUCAUCAGGAAACUCUUUAAGAAUUGGGAAGAUACCAAGCUCAUAGUGUCAGGUAAGUUUUUCAGAAUACUAAUUUUUGCUUGAAAACUGAACUAUUAUCAUUGAUAACAAGUAUCAGCACUUUUCCUUGAAGUAACAAUGUCACUUUGUUCAUUUCCUUUUUUGUCUUUAAAGAUUUUUUUUUUUAAUUUUUAAGUAAUCUCCACACCCAUUGUGGAGCUUGAACCUACAACUCUGAGAUCAAGAGUCACAUGUUCUACAGACAACCAGCCAGGUGCCCUCACUUCAUUCAUUUCUAAGAAAAUUCCAAAUACCCAAGUCUGAAUAAUCAUAUUUUUUCAGGCAGCUGUUCUUUGAAGUAGAAAUAAUAGUCUGUGGUGGCUACUUUAGCUCACAGUUCCAGUCAUUACACAAGUGUUUUUCUCAAGAUAAUCAUUGUCUUCAAUAUUCAGCAGAAGUGCUUUCUCAAAGUACUUGUCACGCAAAAUUAUUAAAAAGAUACGUACUCUAGAGUCAAGAUUUAAUAAACCUAAUAAUUGUUAUGUUUCAUCAAGGACGUUUCUAUACAGACUGGCAUUUUCUUUAUUGAGUAUGGCGGUGAAGAAUACAAUGACUAUUAGUACAGUUCGGUGCCACUAUCUCAUACUUGUUGAAACACCAGCAAUUUUAACCACCAUUGAUUGCUUUUGCACCAUUAUUAAAACAUCCACACAGCAAAAAAAAAUAAAAAGUAAAUAAAGUUUUAAUGUUACUAUGAAAAUACUUUUAACCUGGACACCUGGGUGGCUCAGUGGUUUAGUGCCGCCUUCAGCCCAGCACGUGAUCCUGGAGUCCCGGGAUCGAGUCCCACGUCGGGCUCUCUGUAUGGAGCCUGCUUCUCUCUCUCCCUGUUUCUUUGCCUCUCUCUCUGUGUCUCAUAAAUAAAUAAAUAAAAUCUUUUUAAAAAGAAAAAAAAAAAUACUUUUAACCAUGUAGACUCCCAGAAAGGGCAUUAGGAUUGCUUAGGAAUCCAUGGACCAUAAGAACUUCUUGGUAAACAGCUAGUGCUCUACUUCGUAAGUUCCCUAGGCUGCCGUAACAAAAUAUCACAUAGUAAUUGGCUUAACCAACAGAAAUUUAUUCUCCCACAGAUCUGGAGGCUAAAAGUCUACAAUCGAGAUAUCAGUAGAGCCAUGUUCCCACAGAUGUUUCUUCUAUCUUCUGGUGGCCCCAGGCCUUCCUUGACUUAUGGCAGCAUAACUCCAAUCUCUCUGUCCACCUGCACAUGCGUGGCCUUCUCUGUGUAUUUCUGUGUGCUCUCCUCAUUUUAUAAAGACAUGAGUCAUUGGAUUUAGGGCCCACUCUAAUCUAACAUGAAUUUGUAGGGGAGGAAAAAGUUUUCCUUGACCCUCUUAGGGUCCCUAGCUGGGUCUAUAACUUUUACGUGACCCAGGAGAACUCCAUAAGGAAAUAAAGAUAUAGAAACAUACCUGAGAUUUUUAUGCUAGAUUUGUGAAGAGCAGACAGUUGUAAAGGUAUCAUAAGUUAAAAAGAAUAAAUGUAGGGACGCCUGAGUGGCUCAGUGGUUGAACAUCUGCCUUUGGCUCAGGGCAUGAUCCUGGGAUCCGGGAUCAAGUCCCACAUCUGGCUCCUUGCAGGAAGCCUGCUUCUCCCUCUGCUGGGGUCUACGCCUCUCUCUGGGUCUCUCAUGAAUAAAUAAAUAAAACCUUUAAAAGAGAGAGAGAGAGAGAGAGAAUCAAUGUUGUAAAGUGGGGGAAACUCAGCAAAGCCUGUCUGUUCACAUUCUUCUUAGGGUCCCUUUGUUUUCCUUCAGAGAUAAGGAUACUCCUUUCCUCUGGGUGCAGGGAGGCCACCUCUCACAUGAGUGUUUUAUGAUCUGUUUCAGGGGAUGGGAGGAGGUGGUCAGGAUGACUUGACUGAUUCUAAGGUUUUCUCAAACUGUUUCAACUUAAAAUAGUCAGUAUGCUAGGGUGCCAUAUUUUGGGGUAAUGUGUCCUGAAUCCUAUCAACCUCACCUUAACUAAUUACAUCUGCAAAGACCCUGUUUUCAAAUAAGGUCACAUUCUGAGGUUCUGGGUGGACAUGACUUAAGGAGGACAGUACUCGACUACUUGACUACUAUACCCAUCAGUAUUCCCUGCAGGAAGGUACCCCCAUCCUGGAGCUGCUAUGAGUGUUGGCAGCUAAAAGUUCACAGCUGUCCUUUCUCUAGAACCAGAGAAUUGCCCUUGACAAAGAGAACUAUUUGAUCUAAGAAAGUGGUUACCCCCUCCCAGAGACCACUCACAGUUGGUCUUCUUGCCUCAAGGCAAUAAUACCUUUGUGGUGCAAGUCAUACAACAGAGGUCCCCUUGGGAUAAGGCUGAAUAAAGCUAGUCUCCAGCUGAGAUGACAAUCUGGCUUAACUCUUCCGCCUACACCAUACUACUUCCCUGACUGCCUUUCUUUUGAGAGCAUCAAGUAAUUCUUUUUUU
rnacentral:lncRNA from 1 species